AUUGAACGCUGGCGGCAUGCCUAACACAUGCAAGUCGAACGAAGCCUUCGGGCUUAGUGGCGGACGGGUGAGUAACACGUGGGAACGUACCUUUUGGUUCGGAAUAACGCAGAGAAAUUUGCGCUAAUACCGAAUGAGCCCUUAGGGGGAAAGAUUUAUCGCCGAAAGAUCGGCCCGCGUUGGAUUAGGUAGUUGGUGUGGUAAAGGCGCACCAAGCCUACGAUCCAUAGCUGGUCUGAGAGGAUGAUCAGCCACACUGGGACUGAGACACGGCCCAGACUCCUACGGGAGGCAGCAGUGGGGAAUCUUGCGCAAUGGGCGAAAGCCUGACGCAGCCAUGCCGCGUGAAUGAUGAAGGUCUUAGGAUUGUAAAAUUCUUUUACCAGGGACGAUAAUGACGGUACCUGGAGAAAAAGCCCCGGCUAACUUCGUGCCAGCCGCCGCGGUAAAAC
rnacentral:rRNA from 1 species